GCCUACGACCAUAUCACCCUGAAUGCGCCCGAUCUCGUUUGAUCUCGGAAGUUAAGCAGGAAUGAGCCUGGUUAGUACUUGAAUGGGAAACUGCCUGCGAAUUCCAGGUGUUGGAGGCU
rnacentral:rRNA from 1 species